UGAGUAACACGUGGGUAAUUCACCUCAGGGUUUGGAAUAACCUGCCGAAAGGCGGGCUAAUACCGGAUAACGUCGCGGGAUCACAUGGUUCUGCGACCAAAGCCGACCUCUUCCCGAAAGUUGGCGCCUGGAGAGAAACCCGCGUCCCAUUAGCUAGUUGGUGAGGUUACGGCUCACCAAGGCUCCGAUGGGUAGCCGGCCUGAGAGGGCGAUCGGCCACAGUGGAACUGAGACACGGUCCAC
rnacentral:rRNA from 1 species